rnacentral:rRNA from 1 species
AUGGAGGGUUUGAUCCUGGCUCAGGACUAACGCCAGCGGCGUGACUUAGCCAUGCAAGUCGUGCGCGAAAGCUCCCUUCGGGGAGUGAGUAGAGCGGCGAACGGCGGAGUAACGCGUGGCUAACCUAUCCUUAGGUGGGGGAUAACUGGGGGAAACCCCAGCUAAUACCGCAUAUUGUCUCGAAGGGACAUCCCUUUGAGAUGAAAGCGGGCCUCUCUCUGUAUGCUCGCGCCUAAGGAGGGGGCCGCGUCCUAUCAGGUAGUUGGUAGGGUAAUGGCCUACCAAGCCUAUGACGGGUAGCCGGCCUGAGAGGGUGACCGGCCCGAGGGGCACUGAGACACGGGCCCCACUCCUACGGGAGGCAGCAGGCUUGAAAUUUGGGCAAUGGGGGAAACCCUGACCCAGCGACGCCGCGUGCGGGAUGAAGCCCUUAGGGGUGUAAACCGCUGUCAGGGGGGAAGAAGGGUCGGCUGGCCAAUACCCAGUCGACUUGACGGUACCCUCAGAGGAAGCCCAGGCUAACCUCGUGCCAGCAGCCGCGGUAAUACGAGGUGGGCAAGCGUUGUCCGGAAUCACUGGGCUUGAAGGGGAUGCAGGCGGGUAGAUAAGUCGGACGUGUAAUCCAACGGCUCAACCGUUGGUCUGCGUCCGAUACUGUCUGCCUUGAGGACGGGAGAGGAGAGCGGAACUCCCGGUGUAGCGGUGAAAUGCGUAAAUAUCGGGGGGAACACCAGUGGCGAAGGCGGCUCUCUGGCCCGUUCCUGACGCUCAUAUCCGAAAGCCAGGGUAGCGAAGGGGAUUAGAUACCCCCGUAGUCCUGGCCGUAAACGAUCCCCACUAGGUGUCAGGAGCUUAGGCUCUUGGUGCCGCAGGGAAACCGUUAAGUGGGGCGCCUGGGGAGUACGCCCGCAAGGGUGAAACUCAAAGGAAUUGACGGGGGCCCGCACAAGCGGUGGAGCGCGUGGUUCAAUUCGAUGCUAAGCGAAGAACCUCACCUGGGUUUGACAUGCUGGUGGUACCCCGACUGAGAGGUUGGGGGACCCGGCUUGCCGGGAGCCAGCACAGGUGGUGCACGGCUGUCGUCAGCUCGUGCCGUGAGGUGUUGGGUUAAGUCCCGCAACGAGCGCAACCCCUACCCUUAGUUGCUACCAGCGACCAUGUGUCGGCUGGGCACUCUAAGGGGACUGCCGGCGAUGAGUCGGAGGAAGGUGGGGAUGACGUCAAGUCAGUGUGUCCUUUAUGCCCAGGGCUACACACGCGCUACAAUGGGGACUACAGAGGGUAGCAACCCCGCGAGGGGAAGCCAAUCCCUUAAAGGUCCUCCCAGUUCGGAUUGCAGGCUGCAACUCGCCUGCAUGAAGGCGGAAUCGCUAGUAAUCGCCUAUCAGCAUGGGGCGGUGAAUACGUUCCCGGGCCUUGUACACACCGCCCGUCACGCCAUGGAAGCCGGGGGCACCUGAAGCCGCUCGCCCAACCCCGCAAGGGGAGGGAGGCGUCUAGGGUGAACUCGGUGACUGGGGCGAAGUCGUAACAAGGUAGCCGUACGGGAACGUGCGGCUGGAUCACCUCCUU